UGGUUUCUCCCAAAAAUUGUUGAACUUCUGCUCCUGAGGAGACAAAAGGGAUGCAGCAACGGGGUGAGGUGAUCAGAGUGAUGUAUUGAAGCCUCCCGUUCCACAUGUUCAGUACUUGCACCUCAACGUCACUUUUGAGUAGGUUAGGUCGAUCCCUAAUCUCCGUUCCAAUUUAUUCUGUGGUCAUUAUUCUCAGGCUUCUUUUAAAUUAGUGAUUUAUGCUUUGCUUCGGCACUGCUGCCCUAGAGUCAAGAUUCUCUUCUUUUGCCUUGCUUAGCUAAUUGAUCUGAUUGCUUCAUUUUCUGUUUAUUUGCAGGUACUACUCGACCUUGGGAACAAGGAGAUUAAGAAGGGUGCCGGUUCCGUCCCUGACGUCGAGGUUACCAUUUGGUGAUUGGUAAUUUUGAUUAGUAGAUGUAUUUCACUGCGUCAUCUGUUUUGGAGUUACCUUUUAAAAUUUUAGAUCGUACAUUCAAAGAAUGCAUCUUGCCUCAUUGUUCUAUGACAAAUCGGUUAUGUAGUCAGUGUUUCUUCACAGGGUUAAUACAAGAUUUGCAUCUCAUGACUAUAUAGUUUGUAAAUCGAUUAUCUUGACAGCAUUUCUUCACAAUUAUGAUGUUGCAUCCCCGUGCUUCUCUUAGCUUGCUGCUCAUUGCAGGUGUGCUUGCUGCCACUGGUUAUUAUAGAACUGAUGUAUAGUUUAUUGAAAACCUUCCUUUGUAUAUCACCAACAUUGGGAAACAUUUCAGGUUGCAUAUCAGCUCUUUGUGAUAAGAAAUUAUGCUUGCAAUAACCGAUCAGAUGGAACUGUUACUAAAGCUUGCAACCUUUGAUCUUUAUUGCCGAAUAUAUAAGGAGCCAAGUGAGUGCCUUCUACUGUGUCCUUUGGAUUACUUGAUAGUGCACCCAACUUUGAGUUUGCAACUCUUGUAGGCUGAUGAGAUUUUUUUAUCUUAUAUAUGUACUUUCAGGGCAGUAUGAGUAUAUGCUAAUUAUGCUUGGAUUCACCUGUUUUUCUUUAGGGCUAAAUAACCCCACACAGCCUUGCAAUUUGUAUUUUCAAGAAUACUCAUUGCUUCAACUUCCAUUUUUCACUUUUUUCUUAAAUUGUUCUCACUUGCAAACGCUUCAACAAUAUGUCGUGAAGGAGGUAUCUAGCAGUGUGAGAGGAUUGCAACUAUAUUCAUGUAUAACUAAUGUAAACUUCCAAGGCUUUUCAUAUGGAUGUAUUAACUAUUUAUCUCCCACUUUUAUUUACAAUGCAUGAAAUUCUGCCCUUGGCUUCCUCUAUGGCAAGAAAUUAGAAUUUUUAUGAUGUCUUUGGCUCUUUCUAAAUGAAACAUGUCAUGUAACUAUGGUCCCUGAGGUAGUACAAUAUAAAUUAAUUCUCUAUAUUUCUAUGAUUUAUUAUUGGAACAAAUAGUGUUAUCACAUUAGCCUCUGUGGUUAUGUUAUUGUAGAUUGUUACGUUCUCCGGGCAUGCCUACUAGCAUGUCACUUCAAUAAUUUGAGGAAAGCAUAGAAGCCAUUGUAUCUUCUUAUAUCAAAUAUAUGGUGAAUGCUCACAACACAAAUGUAUUGUAGCAAUCCACAAGAUUUUUCACAUUUACUAAAUAUUUCAAUG
rnacentral:lncRNA from 1 species